GACGAACGCUGGCGGCGUGCCUAAUACAUGCAAGUCGAACGCAGUGGGGGUGGGUGAUUAACACGUGGGUAACCUCCCAUCAGAGGGGAUAACACUUGGAAACAGGUGCUAAACCGAUACUGAUUGAGGGCCUCGCGGUGCAUUAGCUAGUUGGUGAGGUAACGGCUCACCAAGGCCACGAUGCAGAGCCGACCUGAGAGGGUGAUCGGCCACACUUGGACUGAGACACGGCCCAGACUCCUACGGGAGGCAGCAGUAGGGAAUCGUGGGCAAUGGACGAAAGUCUGAUCGAGCAACGCCGCGUGAGUGAAGAAGGCUUUCGGAUCGUAAAGCUCUGUUGGUAGAGAAGCGGUAUCUAACCAGAAAGCAACGGCUAACUACGUGCCAGCAGACGCGGUAAUAC
rnacentral:rRNA from 1 species